rnacentral:rRNA from 1 species
GACGAACGCUGGCGGCGUGCUUAACACAUGCAAGUCGAACGGAAAGGCCCUGCUUUUGUGGGGUGCUCGAGUGGCGAACGGGUGAGUAACACGUGAGUAACCUGCCCUUGACUUUGGGAUAACUUCAGGAAACUGGGGCUAAUACCGGAUAGGAGCUCCUGCUGCAUGGUGGGGGUUGGAAAGUUUCGGCGGUUGGGGAUGGACUCGCGGCUUAUCAGCUUGUUGGUGGGGUAGUGGCUUACCAAGGCUUUGACGGGUAGCCGGCCUGGGAGGGUGACCGGCCACAUUGGGACUGAGAUACGGACCAGACGCCUACGGGAGGCAGCAGUGGGGAAUAUUGCACAGUGGGCGGAAGCCUGAUGCAGCAACGCCGCGUGCGGGAUGACGGCCUUCGGGUUGUAAACCGCUUUCGCCUGUGACGAAGCGUGAGUGACGGUAAUGGGUAAAGAAGCACCGGCUAACUACGUG